CGUGGGUAACCUGCCCAAGAGACUGGGAUAACACCUGGAAACAGAUGCUAAUACCGGAUAACAACACUAGACGCAUGUCUAGAGUUUAAAAGAUGGUUCUGCUAUCACUCUUGGAUGGACCUGCGGUGCAUUAGCUAGUUGGUAAGGUAACGGCUUACCAGGGCAAUGAUGCAUAGCCGAGUUGAGAGACUGAUCGGCCACAUUGGGACUGAGACACGGCCCAAACUCCUACGGAAGGCAGCAG
rnacentral:rRNA from 1 species